rnacentral:rRNA from 1 species
GACAGAGGGUGCAAACGUUGUUCGGAAUUACUGGGCGUAAAGCGCGUGUAGGCGGCCCUGCAAGUCGGGUGUGAAAUCCCAUGGCUCAACCAUGGAAGUGCACUCGAAACUGCAGGGCUAGAGUCCUGGAGAGGAAGGUGGAAUGCUUGGUGUAGAGGUGAAAUUCGUAGAUAUCAAGCGGAACACCGGUGGCGAAGGCGGCCUUCUGGACAGUGACUGACGCUGAGACGCGAAAGCGUGGGGAGCAAACAGGAUUAGAAACCCCCGUAGUCC